rnacentral:rRNA from 1 species
CCUACGGGAGGCAGCAGUGGGGAAUCUUCCGCAAUGGGCGAAAGCCUGACGGAGCAACGCCGCGUGAUCGAAUGAAGGCCUUCGGGUUGUAAAGUUCUGUUGUCAGGGACGAAUAUGCAAUGCGAAUAGUUUUGUGUAUGACGGUACCUGAUUAGAAAGCUCCGGCUAACUACGUGCCAGCAGCCGCGGCAAUACGUAGGGAGCAUGCGUUGUCCGGAAUUACUGGGCGUAAAGGGCGCGUAGGUUGUCGCUUAAGUCAGGUGUGAAAACUCCGUGCUCAACCUGGGGACUGUACUUGAUACUGGAGGUCUAGAGGGCGGAAGAGGAAAGCGGAA